rnacentral:rRNA from 1 species
UGUGUUUCAAGUGACUGCGUACCUUUUGUAUAAUGGGUCAGCGACUUAUAUUCUGUAGCAAGGUUAACCGUAUAGGGGAGCCGGAGGGAAACCGAGUCUUAACCGGGCGUUAAGUUGCAGGGUAUAGACCCGAAACCCGGUGAUCUAGCCAUGGGCAGGUUGAAGGUUGGGUAACACUAACUGGAGGACCGAACCGACUAAUGUUGAAAAA